rnacentral:lncRNA from 1 species
UUUUCAAAAGGUCAAAUGCAUUAGUUAUUCUCUCUUAGAUGUCACGAGUUCAACUCCUUGCAAAGACAAAAAAAAUACAAUAUUUAUUCUUUAUUGGAAGUCAAAAAAUUCAAUUUUUCACAAAAACACAAAUAUUUAUGAAUCUAAACACUAAAAUUGAAAAUUUGUUUUCUUUAACAUCAUAAAAAAAAUAUUAAAAAAUUGAGUUACAAACUUAUUUCUUGACAACUCAUUCUCUUACAUGUUAGAAGAUUAAAGAUUAU